CAGCAUGUUUCCCAGGGCCAUGGCCCAUCGUGGCCAUGGCCCAUUGUGGCCAUGGGCUCUCCAACCACAUGCAGGAGCAGCCUGGAGAGACUUUGACAGCACAAGUCAGCCUAUACCUGCAACUGCCACUCACCUUGCCUAGAACA